CCCCUUUAAAGGAAAAGAAAAGUCAAGAGCUCUAUUUUAAUUCACUUUCUAAAAAGAGCUAUUUUAAAAACAAAUCCUUUCUUUGGGAGAUAUUUGAUAUUCAUAAAUAUUUUUAUUUGUUUACUAACUACGUCCCUGUAUGUGAUCUCUUUGUUUCAUCUCAUUGACAAACAACUUGUGAAUUUACCACUAUAGAAACAAUCGAAAAACGUCCAGUUUAAAAUCUAAGGAAGAGCCAUGAAAAAAGGGGGGUAGUACAAAAUGUGUUUAUACCGGCAAUAGGAUUGCUUUUAUUUACGGAAGUGCAACUUAUAAGCAAAUCCUAAUCCACCAGUGUUAUCCGAUACUUUGCGUACACACUCAGUCCUAUGUCACUUGUCACAAAUCAUAUAUUAAUGACAUCUACCAGAAUCAUGAGGGACUUUAUAAAACUUCAAAGCGGUUGACUUCAACUAACAUCAACUUGGUUCAAUAGCUUCUUUGUAAGCUACAUUUUUU
rnacentral:lncRNA from 1 species